CAAGAAGUUUGRAUCAUGGCUCAGGAUGAACGCUGGCGGCGUGCCUAAUACAUGCAAGUCGAGCGAACAGAUAAGGAGCUUGCUCCUUUGACGUUAGCGGCGGACGGGUGAGUAACACGUGGGUAACCUACCUAUAAGACUGGGAUAACUUCGGGAAACCGGAGCUAAUACCGGAUAACAUUUGGAACCGCAUGGUUCUAAAGUGAAAGAUGGUUUUGCUAUCACUUAUAGAUGGACCCGCGCCGUAUUAGCUAGUUGGUAAGGUAACGGCUUACCAAGGCGACGAUACGUAGCCGACCUGAGAGGGUGAUCGGCCACACUGGAACUGAGACACGGUCCAGACUCCUACGGGAGGCAGCAGUAGGGAAUCUUCCGCAAUGGGCGAAAGCCUGACGGAGCAACGCCGCGUGAGUGAUGAAGGGUUUCGGCUCGUAAAACUCUGUUAUUAGGGAAGAACAAACGUGUAAGUAACUGUGCACGUCUUGACGGUACCUAAUCAGAAAGCCACGGCUAACUACGUGCCAGCAGCCGCGGUAAUACGUAGGUGGCAAGCGUUAUCCGGAAUUAUUGGGCGUAAAGCGCGCGUAGGCGGUUUCUUAAGUCUGAUGUGAAAGCCCACGGCUCAACCGUGGAGGGUCAUUGGAAACUGGGAAACUUGAGUGCAGAAGAGGAAAGUGGAAUUCCAUGUGUAGCGGUGAAAUGCGCAGAGAUAUGGAGGAACACCAGUGGCGAAGGCGACUUUCUGGUCUGUAACUGACGCUGAUGUGCGAAAGCGUGGGGAUCAAACAGGAUUAGAUACCCUGGUAGUCCACGCCGUAAACGAUAGUGCUAAGUGUUAGGGGGUUCCGCCCCUUAGUGCUGCAGCUAACGCAUUAAGCACUCCCCGCG
rnacentral:rRNA from 1 species